CCUACGGGAGGCAGCAGUGGGGAAUCUUGCGCAAUGGGCGAAAGCCUGACGCAGCAACGCCGCGUGCGGGAAGAAGGCUUUCGGGCUGUAAACCGCUUUCAGCAGGAACGAAAAUGACGGUACCUGCAGAAGAAGGAGCGGCCAACUAUGUGCCAGCAGCCGCGGUGAUACAUAGGCUUCAAGCGUUGUCCGGAUUUAUUGGGCGUAAAGAGUUCGUAGGCGGUCAAGUAAGUCGGGUGUGAAAAUUCUGGGCUCAACCCAGAGACGCCACCCGAUACUGCUUAACUUGAGUUCGAUAGGGGAGUGGGGAAUUCCUAGUGUAGCGGUGAAAUGCGCAGAUAUUAGGAGGAACACCGGUGGCGAAGGCGCCACUCUGGAUCGAUACUGACGCUGAGGAACGAAAGCAUGGGUAGCAAACAGGAUUAGAUACCCUGGUAGUCCAUGCCGUAAACGGUGGGCACUAGGUGUGGGUUUCUAUUAACGAAAUCCGCGCCGUCGCUAACGCAUUAAGUGCCCCGCCUGGGGAGUACGGUCGCAAGACUAAAACUCAAAGGAAUUGACG
rnacentral:rRNA from 1 species